rnacentral:rRNA from 1 species
AACGCUAGCUACAGGCUUAACACAUGCAAGUCGAGGGGCAUCAGGGUAGCAAUACCGCUGGCGACCGGCGCACGGGUGAGUAACACGUAUCCAACCUACCGUUAACUCGGGGAUAGCCUUUCGAAAGAAAGAUUAAUACCCGAUAGUAUAUUUUCUUCGCAUGUUGAAAAUAUUAAAGAAUUUCGGUUAUCGAUGGGGAUGCGUUCCAUUAGGCAGUUGGCGGGGUAACGGCCCACCAAACCUACGAUGGAUAGGGGUUCUGAGAGGAAGGUCCCCCACAUUGGAACUGAGACACGGUCCAAACUCCUACGGGAGGCAGCAGUGAGGAAUAUUGGUCAAUGGGCGGAAGCCUGAACCAGCCAAGUAGCGUGCAGGAAGACGGCCCUAUGGGUUGUAAACUGCUUUUAUAUGAGGAUAAAGCCGGGGACGCGUUCCCCGUUUGCAGGUAUCAUAUGAAUAAGGACCGGCUAAUUCCGUGCCAGCAGCCGCGGUAAUACGGAAGGUCCUGGUGUUAUCCGGAUUUAUUGGGUUUAAAGGGAGCGCAGGCCGGUGGUCAAGCGUGACGUGAAAUGCAGCCGCUCAACGGUUGAUGUGCGUCGCGAACUGGCCGUCUUGAGUUGGUACGAUGCAGGCGGAAUUCGUGGUGUAGCGGUGAAAUGCUUAGAUAUCACGAAGAACUCCGAUUG